rnacentral:tRNA from 1 species
CCCGACAUGGCGGAAUGGUAGACGCGGUUGUUUAUCAAACAACAGACGAAAGUCGUGAGGGUUCGAAUCCCUCUGUCGAAA